rnacentral:rRNA from 1 species
AUACGGAGGGGGCAAGCGUUAUUCGGAAUUAUUGGGCGUAAAGGGCGCGUAGGCGGCUUGACAAGUCAAAGGUGAAAUCCCUCGGCCUAACCGAGGAACUGCCUUUGAAACUGUCUGGCUUGAGGCCGGGAGAGGGUAGUGGAAUUCCCAGUGUAGCGGUGAAAUGCGUAGAUAUUGGGAGGAACACCAGUGGCGAAGGCGACUACCUGGACCGGUUCUGACGCUGAGGCGCGAAAGCGUGGGGAGCAAACAGGAUUAGAAACCCCGGUAGUCC